rnacentral:misc_RNA from 1 species
AAGAAUUUAUCACAACAAAAAAACUAGCAAUAAACAAUUUGUGUUGUUUGACGAUUAAAAAUAUGUUGUGCGUACUAUUUAACGAUGGAUUAGCUACGAAUUAUCAAAAAAUCAUGUUAGCUACCGAUUAUUUAAUGACAUAUCACAACUAAGAAACUUGAAUUAGUGACGGACAAAUACUGUUAGCAUUACCAACAAAGUUAAA